rnacentral:lncRNA from 10 species
CAGCUCUAUAGAAGCCCUUAAAAUGAACUGUUUAAAUGAUAGCCCAUUUAAAACACAUUUGCUGAGGGCCCACUCAAUUAUUAGCUUGCUGUUUUGCUAAAGUAGUAGAAAUAUUUGAAAUGCUGUCUGGUAAACAGAAGAAUGCAGCUGGCAUUCCAUUAAAAUGAGAGGUGAAAAGUGUCCUCAGGAAAGAGUGGGGAGAUAGAUCACAGUGUUUAGGGAUAGAGGAAUAGGGAAAGCAAUUUGAAUUAGACCUUCAAGGACAGGAAAUAGGUUAAUAGAGAUGAUGGGAGGCCGCAGGAUGGGACAGUCCAAGAGUUCAGAGGCAUGCUUGCAAUAUUUCUCCACCAAAUAUGAUGAUGGUUCCAGGUUUUCUAUAGAUACCAUUUAUCCAGAAGCAUUUGGCCUGAGAAGAUACCACACCCUCUCCAUCGUUUUCAUAAGAAUUGCCUACCAUCUACAGAUGAACCCACCCAAGCAAAGCCAGCAUGCUCUGCAUAGGAAGCCUGAGAUGAUGGAGUCCACAUGCUGUUUAUUUAGUCAUCAUAGCUUUAUGACUUGAAAAUGUUGACAGAGACAUGCAUCUACCAGUCACCAUGGCAGGGAUUCAAUAGCCCACUGUGCCACAGAGGGCAUGCCUUGGAUGUAGAGAGUGAAGACUUUCCACAACUUGUGAAUGAGCCCUCUGUGAGUUUAGCCAAAACAUUCAUGUCAAAGAAAUGGAAAUCUCAAAUAAAACCCAUCGCAGGCCAAGCUCAGGAGGGCUGGCUAGCCAACAAAUCCUGAACAAGGGGGUUCAAGGGAAAAGGAAAACAUGUGUUUCAUAGGCAUGUAUGAAAAUAAUCUUUUCUUCUAUAGCUUUUGAAAUGAGGAUAAUGAAAUAUCAGUUGGUCUUUGAGGAUGAUGAAAGGAAUAUUUUUUGUAAGUUAUAAAACAAUAGCGUCUGCCUUUAGCAAGUAAUCUCAAGAGAGUCACUUUCAGAGUCCAGACUGGAAGAACACUUAACUUCAAAAUAGCUCUUUACAAAUACUAAUCAGAUGGUCCACAAAACUCUCUGCCAUAUGAAAGUUAUCUUAACCCAAGUAGGGAAGUCACAGAUAGCUGUAAAUAUCUGUGUGCCUAGCUCUGUGUUAGAAGCAAUGGUGAAUGUGUGUGUGUGGGAUGGGGUGGAGUCAGUGGGUAUGUGUAGGUGUGUUGGUGGGUGGAGAAAGGCUGCAUUCAUUUAGGUGCAGGAAAAGGCUUUUUUUUUUUUCUGAC